AUUGAACGCUGGCGGCAUGCUUUACACAUGCAAGUCGAACGGUAACGCGGGGCAACCUGGCGACGAGUGGCGAACGGGUGAGUAAUGCAUCGGAACGUGCCCGGUAGUGGGGGAUAACUGCUCGAAAGAGCAGCUAAUACCGCAUACGACCUGAGGGUGAAAGGGGGGGAUCGCAAGACCUCUCGCUAUUGGAGCGGCCGAUGUCGGAUGUAGCUAGUUGGUGGGGUAAGGGCCCACCAAGGCGACGAUCCGUAGCUGGUCUGAGAGGACGACCAGCCACACUGGGACUGAGACACGGCCCAGACUCCUACGGGAGGCAGCAGUGGGGAAUUUUGGACAAUGGACGCAAGUCUGAUCCAGCCAUGCCGCGUGCGGGAAGAAGGCCUUCGGGUUGUAAACCGCUUUUGUCAGAGAAGAAAUCUUCUGGGUUAAUACCUCGGGAGGAUGACGGUAUCUGAAGAAUAAGCACCGGCUAACUACGUGCCAGCCGCCGCCGUAACAC
rnacentral:rRNA from 1 species